UUUCAACUCAUUUCAACCAAAUAAAAUCAAUUCAUAUAAAUUGAGUAAUCAAUAUGGCUUAUGAAUUUCUUAAAACUUUGGCUCGUGCCAAAAUCAUUCUCAUACUCAGUUAUCAGGGAUACCUUGGCCGAGGGCUAUCCCAACCGAGUCCGCCAAGGCUGUUAAAAAGUUAUGUACGCAUAAAUCAUGUUUUUAUUUUAAAAACAUAGCUGUUCCUUGGCGUUGGCUGAGUUCACCCUCACGUGGUGGUUUGGCAUGAAGUGAACUCUAAAGUGUUAACCUCAGGAGUUAUCCAUUCGCACCUCUCAUACUGAGGUAUGAAUAUAAUAGGGUUACCGUGCCCCCUCUAAUAGGCUGGUUCACGGAACCCGUCCACUACAACGACCAAUUAUAACCCACCAUACAAUAAAAAUUCAACAGCAUGACAUGGCAAUUUUAUCACAAUCUAGACUAUCAAGGCAAACAACAGUUUAUACAUUUUCAACAAAAAUACCAAUUCAGCCAUUCAUGCCAAUAUUGCCAUAAGCCAAUCAAUUAGAAUCAUAAAUUCACAAUACAUCAAAUGGUCUCCAAUUACUCUAUUUUCAAAAUCAUCUUUCAAUUUCAAAACAAUUUUAUAAAAUCAUUUCAUUUAAACACAUUUUGUUUAUAAAACAUAAAGAUUUACCAUUUAAACUCAUUUUUCAUAAAAUCACAAAAUCAGAUAAAAACCACUUUAGAUAAUUAAGACGACAGUAAGGUUACUCACUAUUUCGGGAGUGAAAUUUCAAGUACUCUGAUUCUUGAUCCUCGGGUACUAUCUCUUUACUUUUGUCAGAAUGCUCACCACCUAGACAUAAUGCACAAUAAGCCAUUUACUACAUUUGUGCUAAAUUAUUAUAAAACCAAUUCAGGCUCUAUACUAAUGCAUGAAAUGGGAUGUAAAUUGUUCGGAUUAUCGUCUAAACACGAUGUUCUACACAAAUUCAAUUGUGUACCUAAACAAAACGGUAUUGGCCUAAUUCGAUCUAUCACUCGAUUAAUUGGCCAAUAUGUCCAAUUUAACUUUAAUUAAUUCCAUUUUUCUCCCAAUACUCUAAAUCAUCAAACACAAAUUAAAUAACUUGAAAUAUGGCAAAAUCAUCCUCACAUUUUCUCUUGGAAAAUUUGGCCAUGGUGGGUGCAUCAAUGCUAUAAUUUUUCCUACUUGAUUCUCACACCAUAAAUCACUAAUUCCUAACCAAAUCACUUGAAAUAAAAUUAAAAUCAUCCUCAAUAUUCCACAUGGAGAAUUCGGCCAAUGAUGGGUGAUGGAUGAACAUGAAUUUUUCUUGCUUGAUUUUCAUUCUACACAUCACCAAUCAACUGAAAACACUAAAAUACAUUGAAAUCUAAUUAAAUCAAGCAUCAAAACCUCUCUCUAAGUGUUCAGCCAGCAAGAUACCCAUCAUGAAAUCAUGUGAUUCAACCAUGGAAAAUGCAAAAGAAUGUAUGGGACAGGUAGAUCAUAAGUCAAAAUCAAGAAAUUUUACCUUUGAUUACUUGAUUACUUGAAAUCCACCAAUUUUCUCUUAAAUUUUCACCCUAGGGUUCUUGUUCUUUCUUUUCUUCCUUUGUUCUUGCUUUGGCCGG
rnacentral:lncRNA from 1 species